rnacentral:lncRNA from 1 species
AGGUAACACGUCUUAAGUGCGGUGGUUUCAUUUUUGCUCUUCGUCUAAACCACACAAUGAGCGACGCAGCAGGUUUGGUUCAAUUUAUGAAUGCCUUAGGAGAAAUAUCUCGUGGCAUGAACGAACCUUCAAUUCCACCAGUGUGGUAUUAAUAAUAAUAAUAAUAAUAAUAAUAAUAAUAAUAAUAAUAAUAAUAAUAAUAAUAAUAAUAAAUGAUGGUUGGUAACUGGUAGCAGUGAAUGUCCCUACCUAAGAAUAUUCUUUUUGGUAUGAAUAUUUAUGACUUAUAUAAUUUAUGAAUAAUUUGCAUUAGUUUUUUAAAAUUAUAGAAAAACGGUCAAUUUUUUGAAAGUAAAUAAUAUGUUUUUAUUGUAAUAUUUAAAACUAUUUAUUAAAAAGUAUUGUACAUAUUUGUUUGAAAUCAAUUCUAUAAUAUACAAGUAAAUUAAAUUUUAAAUCAUGUAUAAAUUUAUUUUCGCUACUAAAUCAAUAAAUUUCACUAUUUGAUCAAAUAAGAUAUGAUAAAAUUUAUUGAUUUAAUAAUAAAAAUAAUCUUGUACAUAAUACAAGAUUAUAUUACAAUUGUGUACAUUAGAUUAAACCAUUGUUUGAAUGAAAGACUUGAAGUUAUUGUAAACAAAGUUUUAAUAAACAUGUUUUGAAUCAAAGUGUACGUUUAUAUAUAUACUUUUAAAUCUAAUGAUCAUGACUUUUACAAAAUUGUGGUCAAUCACAAUCCAAAACAACGUGCAUACUAUUAUAUUGUGCCCUAUCACAACACGAGGGAAAAAAAAAAUGAAUGUUUGACUGUGGUCCAAACUUUUUGAGUGUUAUUGUGGUUCCAAUUUUUUUUUUUUUAAUGGCAAAAGAGAUGGUAAAUAUAUCACUAUAAAUUCAUAUUCUCUUAUAACAUUUUAAAUUUAACUAGAGAUAACAUAUAAUUUAAUAGAUUUAUUUAAUUUGUUUCUCAGUUAACCUAGAAUGUAAAAACAGUUGAAAUCUAAAUUAAUUUAUUUGCAACUUGUAAAUUUAUUUUAUUUUUUUUGUAGAAUAGAUGAUAAAUAUUAUUAAAAAUUUAUACAUAAUUGUGAAGUUUUAAUUUCAAAUCCGACAUGAUAAAUAACUUUAAAAUAUAACAUUUAUUAAUUGAAUUAUGAUUUAAAAACGAAUUAAAAUUUUUAAAUACACACGCUUGAAUUUAUUAUUGUCGAUACACACGCUUGAAUUGAAAUGCUCAGAGCAUCUCCAACGGUAAACUCAAUAUGAGUUCAUUGAAUGAGGUCCACCAUGCUACAUCAUAUUGAAAUAAUCUAUUCAUUUUUUACUCCAACGUUGAAGUCACAUGUUUAUUAAAAAGGGUCCACCACUAACAAAUUAUUUAUUUAUUAUUAUUCAUAAAUUAAUACAAAUAAAAGGUAACCGUAGUACCGUUCCUUCGUGAGAGAACGAUGAUGACAACUUGACAUAUCUCCAACAGUAAACUCAUCAAAAACGGUUACAUAAUUACACCUGACGGACGGACUCAUUUUGACUAUUGGAGAUGCUCUCAUAAGCGACACACCUAAUUUUGAGCAUAAGAGUGUUUGGUUGUGGUCCCACUUAAUUAAUUUGCAACUUUUGAAAAAAUUUAAAUAAUAAAUAAUUAUUAUUUUUAUUAUUAGUGGUUCACAUGCAUGCUUGAAUUGUAAUGACACACAGGUAACACGUCUUAAGUGUGGUGGUUUCAUUUUUGCUCUUCGUCUAAACCACACAAUGAGCGACGCAGCAGGUUUGGUUCAAUUCAUGAAUGCGUUAGGAGAAAUAUCUCGUGGCAUGAACGAACCUUCAAUUCCACCAGUGUGGUAUAGAGAGCUUUUGAAUGCAAGGGACCCACCAAGAGUGACGUGUACUCAUCGCGAAUACGAACAAAUACCCGACACUAAAGGAACCAUCAUCUCCUUAGAUGACAUGGACCACCGCUCUUUCUUCUUC